rnacentral:lncRNA from 1 species
AUCUCAUGAGUCUAUGAGCUUGAAGGCCCCUUCCAACCCAACUCAUCCCUUCCAACCCAACCCAUUCCAUGCAUCUAUGAGCUUGAAGGCCCCUUCCAACCCAACCCAUCCCUUCCAACCCAACCCAUCCCAUGGGAUGAUGACCUUGAAGGCCCCUUCCAACCCAUCCCCUCCCAUUGGCCCAUUACAGCUCAGGAUCUCCCCCAUGUCCUCUUGCAGGCCCCAACCCCUUGCAGCUGCGGGUGCAGGACGGCCCCGGUCCCUGCGCGGGGCGGUUGGAGGCGCUCUACAACGCGACGUGGCUCGGGGUGUGCGGCACCGGCUGGAGCCUGCUGGAGGCCGCCGUGGCCUGCAGGCAGCUGGGCUGUGGGCAGGCGCAGGCAGCGCCCAUGGGUGCCCCAUUGGGCCAUGAGCACGGCCGGGUCCUGCUGGAGGGGCUGAGCUGCCGCGGCACCGAAUCGCUGCUCCUCGAGUGCCAACAGAGACACACGGGGCCGGGGCCGUGCCCACAGGGCUCAAUGGCCACCGUGGUGUGCGCCGAGCCCAAGGGUGCUCCAUCAUCCUGCUCGGCGCUGGUCGCGGUGCUGGUGCUGGUGAUGCUCCUGAGCGGGGUCCUGCUCUGGUUCACCCUCAAGAGAAGAUGCAUUGCAGCGACCCAGGCGGGAGGCCACCAGCGCCUUAGGGACCAGGGUGCUCCAUCCACCUCCUUCCAGCCCAUGGGGGCCAUCUACGUCCCCACCACAGCAGAAGCCCCUGAGGACAACGACACGGAGAUGAUGCAGCUCAUGGAGGAAGAUGCUGCCCCAUGAUGCUCAAUAGCAUGGGGGGGGGGGCCCUUCUGUGCUCUCCUGAAGACUCAAAGCACCAAUAGAGAACCAUGGACUUCCAUCAUGGGGACCUUGGGGACCCCCCCCCCCCCCAAGCAGCCCCUAUGGCCCAAGGAGCAAUUAAAAGGGGGACCCCAACCUUCU